GAGGUAUUUCAUAAGGAUUUUUCAGAUAUGAAGUAUUCUGUUUAAUUCCAGAUCAACUUUGGCAUACCUCAGUUUGGGAACAGUUUUGAUCCCGCAGUCAAUCAAUGCAGUUGCACUUGAAAGAUCUUAAGCAGAAGUAAGAGGAUCUCUCUUUAACUCGGGAUUCUCCAGGUUGCAGGUCACGUGGAGUUAGUAAGUGCAGUAGGGCUUGUGAAGGUACUGGGGUGGCCUGUCUCUUGGAAAUGAAGGAGAUGGCAAGGUUGUUACUGCGGGGGGUGGGGGGGAAGGACCCCAAACCUGAGUGGAUUGGCUUUUGUGCAUGCGGAAUUUGGAGAUAACUGUCGGAAUACGCAAUGGGCCAUAUUUCUCUCAUGAAACAGACAUCCGUCCUUUAUCAGGGAGGUUUAUGAAUUUAAAGCACGACUUCAAAGUGUAUUUCUGGGAUUAUAAUCUGCAAAUUGCAUUAAAUGCAAAAAAAAAAGACUGACCUGAAUGGCAGUCCAAACUUUAGCUUUGCCCUCCUUGCUUCAAGUAUGGCUUCACUUUUUUUCCUUACUUAGCGUCAGUGAGCAUGCAGCCUUGCUCAUGGAUUUAUUUUUUUUUUCUCCUGUGGAACUUUCUGCAGAGCGUCUAUAAGUGUAGGAUAUACACUUGGUUCUGUCUUUUUUUUUAUUUAUUUUUUUAAAUGGUCAUGGCAGACUCUGAGAAGUGGUUGUAUUUCAAUUUUAAUUUCAAGCAAUGAGUAUUUGUUGCACCGGUACCUGUUUACAUGACAUUACUCUCAUGUACCUUCAGACAUUUCAGAUUUGGCGUGCAGAAAAUGCAGUACCCAACUUGAAUUUAAGGUGGGGAUGUGGUGUAAGCAUUAGUUCUGUGGUAGGAAGGGAAAUCUAACUCUGGAGAGCAUUCAGCUGUCUUAGCUGCGUAUGGUCUUUCUUUAAGCUCCCUGCUGUGCUGCUGUAACUUAAGUGAAACACCGCGCGGGCUGGAAGUCCUGUGAUAAAAACAGUUCAAGUGCAUAAUUGGCAAUGGUAUCGUCAUGCAUGUGUGCAGGAGAUCUGAGUUGCACAGGCAGGAAUGUGAUGUUUCUUAUACUCACUUUUUAACCAGUUCCUGGGUGUGAACUACAUCCUGAAAGCAUUCUCCAAAGCAUGUUCUAUAUUGAACCCUACUUUUAGUAAUCAGAUUUUAAAAUUCAAGAUAUUGAACCAGUGAGGCAGAGAAUUAACUAGUGUAACUUUUUGCUUGUAGUACCUAUAGAACAAACACAAAAAAGGGUAAGAACACCUUGUUUUAAGUUUCACGUCUGUUUUAUCAAGACCAGAGAUCUUGAACUCAUCCUUUCAGUCAAAAUCAAUUGCAGUUACAGAUUUUUCUCCCCAUUGUUCUGCUCAGUGCUGGCAAUAGCAACGCUGAGAUCACAGGACAUUAAUUCUUCCUACUCAGAGUACUGUGCAUACGUGAGAUUAUAGCAGCUUGGAGGAAUCGCUGCAACGAGCUUUUUUUCAUGCAAGUCUUCUACUGAGUGACUUCUGUAACAUGCAGAUACUGAAGCCAGUGUGCAGCUUACCUGCAAGAACUUAAUGUGCAGUUAUGUUCAAAUGCUACUGGUCUCAGCAUCCAAAUCAUCUCGGUUAUAGGAUUUUCCCAGAGAUUCUGGCUGAGGUCUGAUACUCGGCAUGGAGCAUUCCGCUUUGAGCAGCGGGAAAGGUGAUAAACCAGCUGUUGAUGAGCAGCUUGACAAAAUAUAUUGGUGUUGCUGUUAAUUCAGUUAUUGGUCAUGGACACCUCUCCACUUACCUGGUAAAACCUAGAAGUGAGCAUAAACGAUUCUUCCUGUAAGGCAGCAGAUCAAGCCUGUUAGUUAAUACUUUAUUUAUCACUUUAUUUUCCCCUUGAACAACCAGCAGUAGUAGCUUUUCUUGGGCUAUGAAAUGUGCGUUCCAGUCUUCCCCAUGUUUCCUGUUUUUUUUGUUUCUGCUGCUUUGCCGGCUGUUGCUGUGCUCUCAGAUAUUUAGUUUGCUUCCAGUUGAAGAAGUUGGAGCAAAUAGAUUCUGCUUAUUUUUUCUCCUGAAGGUAAUGGAAAGAGGAGAGAAAAAACUCAGAGCUAGGAGGUCCAGCCUGCAGCCCCUUAUUGGCAGCUGUGAAGGGGUCCUGCUUUUAUUUAAAAGAAAAAUUACCUCUUGUCUGCCUUCUCUUUUGAUGAAGUUCAUAUUAAAGAGCUUGCUCCCAUCUGGUACUUCUCACCAGUUUUUUGUUGCAGAGCUCUUCUGUGAGCUUGCUCCGAGUGGGGAGCGUGCUGGAAACUGUCACUUUGAAGGCUGGGGUGCACUUGAGGCAGAUUCUUUUUCAGUGUGAAGGAAUAAAUUACUCUGUUAAAUAAAAUUAUAUUGUUACAUGCAGAACAAACUCUUCCUGUGGAUGUUCUUGGGUAGGUUCUAGGUAUCGUGCAUCAAAUAAGAACUGUCCCGUGAGAUGCCUGAGUGCCAGCUGCUAAUUGCUGUGCAAUUGCACACGCAUCCUUCCAAAGCUCAACUAAACUAAGUGCUCCCUGUUACUAGAUCAUUUGUGCAGGAGAGGCUUUCAUAUCUUCGUAAUACACUAAUCCAUAGAUAAAUGUAUGGAUUAACUUUGGGAUUUGAUGCCUCAACAAGUUUUUGCUUUGGAAAUGAAAGAGGUUGCUUGUGUGUUGUGUGGGUUUUUUGCUUGCUUGGUUGGUUUUUUUGUUGACAGAGUAGAGAGGGUUUGGCUGUAGCAAGGUGCUGGGGUGUAGGCACUCCGGCUGUGCUUUCUUUAAAGGGAUAUAUAUGUUCUGACUAAUGCGUCUGGUGAAUUGCGUUGAACUAAAGUAGUCCCAAUUUUUUAGUCUUGAAACUAUAGUUUUUAUCCUGCCAUCUUUCUGCUUUGUCGAGGAGAUCAAAACUGUGCGCUUGGCAUCUUGUGCACAGACGAGGCAGCCUGUUCUCUGGCUGCUGGUCACAUUCUACCUGCGUGACAGGCAAGAUUGGAUUAGUUCUUGUCUAUCAACUGCUGAAAAGCUGCUGAGCUUCCGUGAGGAAUAUUUUUCAAAGUGGUGGGGCAAAAGAGAGCAGUGGCUUGGUAUGCUGGGGUGUGUAGACAUUUUUGGUACCAAGGAGCUACCUAGAAAAGUUGUUAAACUAAUGGAGGGAAUCUCUAGACAGGCAGGAGGCAAAUUAUUUAGCUGUGUUUUUAGAACUACUUAAAUAAUUUGUAUUCUUGCUUGAUAAAUUAUUUCCUCAAAGCACUGGGUAGCCAGUUGCUUAAGUUUAUUGGCAGAGCUUAACAACAAUCUCUCUUAAAAAUAUUUUUUAAUAAAAAAAUCUGUAUGGGCGGGGCAAAAGUCUUUUUCUCCUCCAAAUAAGCUCUAAGUACUUGCAUUAAAAACUGAAGGAAUAUAGCCCAGUUUAGUGAAUUGGUACAAUUUCUGUGCACAAAUCUGUUUUUCCAGUCAUAUGAUCAAUGCCCCAAACUGGCUACUGGGAAUUUUAAUACUUUCAGAAAGAAGACUGGGUGAACCAAAAUUCUUGCAACUUACAAAAAUGGAUUUUUGAGGACUUGGGGUGGGAGAGAGGAGAGAGUAGGCUGUUGGGAAGAAUCAGACCCUGGGUUUCACCAGUGCCGGGCGGUAAAGGCUGCUUCUAGGCUAACCCUUUUUCAGGGCUUUUCCAGUUUCAAAACGUAGCAGUUUACAAAACGUUAGAACUACCUUGUCUCAGUUGUGACCCAAGUUCACAAGCAGUUUUAUUUCUUAAAUGAUACUUGAUGGCCUCAGACCUGGAACAGUCACUGGUUUAUUUUCCCAGUUAGUUAAAUUAACAUACGGUGCUUGCAUGUCUUCUUAAAAAACCCAAAAUGACAAACAAGGAGAGCCAUCAGUGCUGUUACCCCUUCUGAAACAAAGCGUGCUGCUGCUUGCAGUUCUUUGAUACUGUAAAAACAAAUUGAUAGUGGAAGAGGCAUUGAAUUUAAGGUUCCUGAGAAAUGAGGAUGUUUAAAGCCUUAAUUGUCGUAUUUGUAGCUUCUCUCUUUUACUAUGUCUUUACUGUCCCUUCUUGGAUUGGAUGUGCAUCUCUGCUUUCUCUGCUGCUCCUCUGCAGAGAGGGAGGAAGAAAGCGUCUUGGCUCCGUAUCGCCAGCAAGCUGGCUGAGGGUGCCAAGUUAGCUGCAAGGUUUGAGGGCUUUUUGAAUGGACCUUGCUCUUUUUCAAAUGUGUUGUUGAUGUGAUAUGUAAAGGUCAAAGUGCUGCAGGAUUCUCUGAAUUUUACCUACGUGAAGUAUGUGAACUUGAGUUACUAAUUUUGUCAGUAUUUCUAGAUGGUACGUGUUGCACAGGAAUGUAGGCAUGCACUUAUUAGCUAAUUUUUCAUUUAAUUUGCCUAUUUUGUGCAUAUAAACAUUCAUUAUUCCUCAUGUCUGCAAAGCAUUAAAACAUAAAUUUCUUUAAUGUUCCUGUAAACAUUAAAUAUUUUGUUUCCUCCUGUGUACCUUCUUUAGUGGCAGUUCAUAGAAAAUAAAUGUGCUAUUUUCUCUCGCUCUAUUUGUUGCUUUACUGACUCUUAGUUGUUGGGUUUUUAGCCUUUUCUCUCGUGGCAAAUAGAUGUCUUCAAUUGCAUGCCCUACAAGUGGGUUCAAAAAGGUGUGCAGCAUAGCAUGUGGAAUCUAAAGGUCAUAAAUAAAAUCGGUUUCACUGGGCCAGAGUAGGAUAUGUGCGGUGAAGACUGCAUCUUCUGCAUUGUGGGAGGCUGUUCAGAUGUGAGAAGCAGUUCCACGAAUGUAGGUCAUCUUUUCUCUUUCAUUGGAAAUAGUUUCAAAAAUCCUUUUAGCAACUGAGCUGAGCUUUAAAAUAGCAGCAGCUAAAGAACGUCAAAUGUCUGGCUGCAUCAGUAAAGUUGCUGAAAUGUGCAAGUACUCGGUAGCUCAAAGUGAUAUUUUUUUUUUUUUCUGGUGUAAGAUCUGUGUAGUGUGGGAAUGUGGAGGAAAAACGAUGUGGUUGUCCAUUUCCUAGUUGCUGUGAUUCGCUCCACCGCUCCCUAAACCAAGAAAUAGUAAUAAUGGAUUUCAAAAUUAAAUUUGAAUUUAAGAAAUAAAUUAAAAAUCAGUGCUCUCCUCUGAACUUCGUGCUGUAACUGUCUAGCAUGGAGGGUUUGGGGUCCGGUUCCGUGGUAGGAAUUGCCAUCCUUCCUCUCAGACGCAACAGUUACAAUGUGUAUUCUGUUAACUUCACUCAUUUUCACUUACUUGAAUUUUUUACAUUAAUUCAGUGUUUUCUGUUCUCUAAUUGUACAAAAGCCAUGUAUGUAAGUGGUUGGGAUGGAGGAAUGAUAACCUAGCUCUUCACGAAGACUUCUCCUGCAAAGUAGAGAUUUUUGACAGACGGGGGAAAAUUGCUUUUUUGGGGGGAGGAGGCUUGUCUUGUUUGAAGUGGGAUGUGCAACUGGAAGCCUGUGUCUGCAGGUGAGAUCUUCUGAGCAUAAAGGUUUUCUACUGAGUUCGGCUUCUUUCAGUACUGCUUAUGUGAGAGCAGUUGAAGUGAGUUAGCUGGGAGAGCUCUCUAGUCCGUACUUCUGUGGACUAACCUUCAGAAAAACAGGAGGAAAAGGAAAGUUGUACACUAACCAGUCAUCUCCUCCAUUAAUGGAGUUUAUUCUGCCUUCCAAAGGUCUCCUAGCAGUGAAGGAUGUAGUUUGGCUCAGGGGUACGUAACUUGUUCAAGCAAGGAAUAUUUUGUGUUUGAGUGCAUAGAGGUCCUGGUGAACACAGCUGAGUUGACUGGUUUUUCACUGGCAGUGGGAGACUCUUCCCAGUGCGUAGGAGGUGGCAGUAAUACCUAAAUGUACAAAACAAUGAGAAUAGUGUCCAGCCCUUCUGGCUUACUCCCUGUAGUCUUGAGCUCCAUGUCUGGGGAGCUGCCAGGUAUGUGCAGCAUGCUCCAGAGAGCCGGGGUGGGCAGUGCUCCGGAUCCCCUGGAGGACGGUGGCAGUUACGCUGGGAUCCUACCACUCCUGUUGUGACACUUUCUUCCCCCUGCCGCACUUCUGUCUGGCAUGACGUGGGCUUUGAGUAACUCUCAAGAAACUUUGCGUUUGUGAAUAAACCCCUCCCUCAUCAGCUAAGGUAGGAAUGUGGUUAAUUCAAGCAUACGCCAGCUCUGCUUGCAUUGCACUUUGGUGUUGUCACUGGAAGGGGCCACAGUGAAAGUAGCGUGCACUGAACCAUGCAACACGUAGAGUCUUUAAGAAUCCCUGUCUAUUAAAAUAUAGACACAACAGUAGUUUCUAAAGUGAGUAAACCCAUUCUUCACAGGAGUAUCUCUGGAACACCACACUGUUCAUCUCUGUAACCACCUAUUUCUUUUCAGAGAGAUUGCAGUGAGCAGCAUUGUUUACUGAUCUUAUAUACCCACCCAUUAUCUUACAUGAAUAGGCUUGUUUCUCCCUGCUUCUGUGCCUUCGCAUUUCAGUUUUUAAGGUGCACAUGAUAGAUGUAUACAUUAACCACUGGAAUAAAACCUCUACGGCUGAUGUUUCCUGCCCUUCUUAACACCGUACACAUGUAUUGGUUAACCAGUAUUAAGUGAUACAGUUGGGAGAACUGCACGCUUGCUGUGGCUAGGGUACUAGGAAAAGAAAUUGAAGAUAAUGUGCCUAAAAAGGUGGAAAGUACAAGAGCAGGCUUACUGAAGUUAUAAAAGAACUAUAUUCUCCAAAUAUGCUUUAUUUAGUACAAUAUAUCAAUCCUGGAUCAUUCCCUGUAGUCAUACAAGUCCUUCCUGCCUGCUGGUCAGACUGGGGAGGUUCAUCCUGACUGGAGAUGUAGUCAGACACCUGAUUAUCUGAAGAAAUUUCAACAGCCAAGUAUUGGAGUUUUUACUGAGUUUAGGAAGUGGUCUUGAUUUUCACUUUUUCCUCUGUUUUCUUAUCCAGAACUCGUCUGACCAGCAGAGUGAGAAGGAAGCUUUUCCAGUGAUUCCUGUCAUCCUGUAUAGAUCAGGAUCUGGUGAUGUAGUUCUACAGGUGCUUGAGUUUGGCAGUGCACUGUGAUGCCAGGAGCAGUCCUUUCCACUGCAGGUCUGCGUGGGGAACUCCCCUAAGAUACCACCAACGCUUCUGUUUUCUGGUUUGGCUUCAGUGCAAGUUCUGUGUAGCGCUGAGAACGAUAGCUGGGGAAGGGCCAGGAUGCUGCUGCUUGUGUCCAACCCCAGAACUGAGGUCCCAGGUAGAUGCUGUGUGAGAUUGACUUGUACAACCUAUUUCUUCUCACUGACUAAAGCAUCAAGGGUGGUGGAUCCCAUCAAUUACCAUGUGUCUUCCUGAACAGCGACUGACUUCUGUUAGCCUGAUUUUUAUCAACUUGGGAGCAUGUUGGUUGCAUCUCCUUGAUGUUGCAUAUGUCCUUGUUUUCGUGUUAGGCAGGCAGGAAUUCCUUACCAGAAUGAGUAGUUACGUCAAGGCUUGCAUAAAGACGUUGCCAGGAAUUGAGCAGGAAGGCCAAGGCAGAGAAACAGAUGAAAUAAUUUCAGGUGUCCAGCUUAAAGUGUAGGAAGGUAGUUAUGGACAGUUACCCAGCUGAGGACAACAGCUGGCAAGUUGGUUCUUUGUAGGUUUUCCUUUGAGUUAAAAUAAUGGUAAUGUUUUUUUUAUGGUUAAAUGGUUAAAUUUGGUUAAAAAAGGGGUAAUGCCCAUGCACAAGGCUAGAAGAAAUGUGCGAUGCGAGUGGGGUGCGUGUUCAGCAGUGUGGCUGCUGUUCCUGCCAGCUGAAGAUGGGGACUAAAGCAAAUGGUACAGAUCUGUGGGGGAAUCCCACCCAAAGGCUGGAAGGACGUCAAGAUGCAGCAUCUCUUGUGCAUGCCGGGGUCUUUCUGAGGGACUGUUCUGUCUUAAUUCUGUGCGAUGAAAUCAGUUGAUUGUCAGCGCGCUGGAGGAUCUUGUUGUUUGAUUUGGAUCUCCCUAUAAUGUAAUCUGAAGAACAUGUUUGGACUGUGCGCUCCUGGAAUGAGUCAGCUUGCUUUGCCAACAGUCUGCCCAUCACAAAACCAGUAGACCUUAUUAGAACACUUCCACUUUUGAGAUGUGUGAGUCAGGCAAGUAAAGUCAUCCCAGAUUUUUGAAGCCCAAAUGCACAUGAAGCCUCUGAGAAUCCUGAACCACAGUAAAAGUUUCCAAAAGAAAUUUGUGUGGGCAGCUGAAGGACCACUUGCAGUAGUAUCAAAGUUGCAUUAAAAAAAAAAAAGUGGUGUAGUCUUGGUCUUCUGUGUUCUUAGGUCUUAGAUUUUUCUAAAUAUAACUGAGGAGAAAGUAGCAGCAGUAUUUGGGUAGGGAGAAGAAAGCCUGAUAAAGUUGCUUGUUUUUUAAGAAAGUGACACCUGCUUUUUACUUAUUAGUUUAUUUAAGGGAAUGCUUGUAGUGGACUGUAUCUUUCCACUUUAAUCUCUUCCUGUGCAGUUUGAGCACUCCUGCUAGGAGUGCCCUCUUUCUGAGUAAGGAUACAAGGUAAACUACUUUACAAGCAUGUGGUAAAAAUCAUUACAGCAAUGGAACAGCUUUUUCUUAGUGUGAAAUCUGAAUCAAAAGUACCAGGUUGCUUGCAGGCUUGGUAGCCAGCAGAGGAGUAGCAAGUAAUAACACUAAAUUACAUCUGGGCUGUCUUCUGUAGCUGUGUGUGUUUCACAGCUCUAAUCAUUGUGUAUUUCUUACAAAGCCUCCAAUAAUGAGUAAACAAAUGCAGGACAGAUCACAAGGAUGUUUCAUGUAACUUUUUUCCAUAUAAAAAUGCUUAUCUUUCAGAUGCCAAGCUGGAACUGGCAAUAGAGACUGUGAGCUUUGCUCUUGAUGUAACAGGAGUAUGGGGGCUACAUAAUUCACACUGAUUCUUUAUUGAUAGAUACUGUGUUGGUGGAUUAAAUUAGAUGGUGAUGCCUGAAUUCUAGUGAAUCCCCCAUUCACCAAGGGACUGCAGUAUAUCAAUAGGUAAGAGGACCUCCGGGAGGAAGCGUGGGACUGGCAAAGCCAUGCUGAUCUCGAGCAAAGACAGACUCCUGUUUGAUGCACCAGAGCCUUUGCUUGUGUUAACAGUCAGUUCUCCUCUGUUCCAAACUGAGACCACAAAAUCUUUGGUGAGAAAAAAGCAAACCACAGUCAGACUUUAAUACCAAAAGACUGGGAAUGAUUGCAGUUCCUUAUAGUGAUAGGAUUGCUUGAUGAAAAUUGAGAUGCAACCUGCGAGGAAGUGUACAUUUGCUUGUUAUAGUCGUGGUUCAGCCCUGUUGUUACAACAGUUCAGCCAGUGCGGGUGUGUUACUGCUAUCUGGAAGGUGAUGUCUGAUGGCAGAAUGAAAGGAGUAGCGAAAGCCUAUGGCUCUGUAAAAUGAAUUAUUUUUUGGGGGGGUCCAUUAGUUGCCUAAAUAAAGUAAGAUAUUUUAGAAGUGACAGAUGAUUGAACAGCAAUCAGAAAUCAGGCUCCAGAAAAGUUAAAACUCAUGUUUUUAUUUGGUAUCUUCAGUAUGCAAGUGCCUUGUCCCUUUUAUCUACUAAUAAUGUUUUAACUUCCAUCCUCAUCUCGUCUCUCAUAAUCCCUGAAGAAUGUUCAUGGUGCUGUAUGAACUGAGCUGGCUGGUAAGUUGUCUGUUUUUAUACCUCUGGAGAAGUUUGAUUGCAGACUUUUCUGAAAACAUUUCAUCCCAGGCACUUCCUUUGUGCCCAGUCUGGUUUUACAGUCUCUGUGGACGUACCAGUUAGUAUACUAGAACCGUGUCACAGUAAUUGGAUCUUGGAUAUGCUUUUAAAUUUAUAAAAAAUAUUGCAAAAAUAAAUAUUUACCUGUGGGCGAGUCCCAGCCUGUGGCCAUGCUGUGUGGGUCAUGGCUGGUGUGGAAGAGCUGCUCUUCAACUUCCCACCGGGGCAUCUGUCAGCUGAUGUUUUAGAGAGCAGUAAGGGGAGGGAGUGGGAUGGCUGGAGCACAGCCAUCGCUCACACCGUGCUUUCUUGUGCUCAGUGUCCUUGAACUUGUUAGCAUCAUGCCUGCUAUAAUCAAGCUAUACUUCACAAUUUCAAUCGAGCCUACUUUUAGCCCGAUGCCUUUUGAAUUGAAAUGGCACAGGCAGACCUCUGUUCUGAAAUGUUUGGGAUUGCUUCUUACCGUUUGGCACACAAAUUUCAGUUGUACGCUGAUUUAAGAAAUUUUGGCAUUCCAGUAGGUGGCUCUUCAGUGUCCCUUUUGCAACCCACGUUGGGGUGGGGGGAGGAAAGGAAAAGUAACUGACAGAUAGAGAAGUGGGACAGAAGACUGUAGGACCCUGCAGUUUCUUUUCAAUAUUUAUUGUUGUAUCUUUUCAGUAUGUUUCCUUCUCUGGGUCUUCUCUAGGUUUCCUGGACUCAGGCUCUGUCCCUCUCAACCUCUUGUGGUUCAUCAUGCGUUCCAGGCAGCACUCUGUCAGAAGACUUGACUCUUACUUACCUUACAGUUUAGAACUGAUUCUCCUUGCAAACAUUAAAAAAAACCCACCCAAACAAACAAAAAAAAGGGGAUUGAAUGGUGUUUCGCUUUUUCCUGGGUUUCUGUACUACUUCAAUUGAAGUGUUUAGGGAGCUGGGUCUUGAUUAGCUUUUAGCGGAAGUGAGAUAGAGAAGUAUUUGUGUAACUGCCUGUUACAUUUGCCUGAAAACACUUUUUUGGGUGUCACCUGAGUCAUCUCGGUGCCUUCUCAGAUACCUGCAGCUUUGCAAGGCUCACGUGGAAAAUUUGUGAGAUGUAGUAAUACCACUCAACAAGAAAGGCAAAGCAGGAUGAAAAUCAGUUGUAUUCUCAGAAAUAGUUCAGUGCCUGCUUUUUUAGCAUGUGGUUUGAGUUGAGAGAAGGAGAGCUGGGAAGAAUAGAUCUGGUAUUUUGUUCACCGAUCAUCUUGUGAAGAAUUACACAGCCCUGCAUCUUCUGGGUGGAGGAGGGCAGACCUUUGGGAGCUGAAGAUUGGUAAGAUGCUGGUGCAGCUUUUCUUCGUCAGUCUUGGCACCGCUUGCAAUAUGAAAAGUUUUGCUUUUCUAGCUUGUUUUUUUCUUCUGAUGUUUUGCCAGUAUUAGAGAUGGGAGGUAUCAGAAUUUUCUUACCAACCACCAAAAAUUCACACCACCACCUCCAGCCCCCAGUACUUACAAGUCUGAAAAAAUGGAAUUUUUUCAUGACUGUGGAUGUGAUGGGGAGCUGGGGCUGGGACCCCUGAGGGGUGGCCUGUGUGGAGCCAGUGAUGUCCCCCUGACCUGAGGUGGCUGUGCUGAAUGACCAUGUUUUGGGUCAGAUGGAGCAGUGUUACAUCAGGACGUUCCCAAAAGUGUCUCAUCUGUUUGCGGAGCGGAUGUAACAUUGAAAGCAGCGUGGUCGUACUCAUCUUGAGCUUGGUUGCAGAAGCCUGGACCUGAUCCUGCAUAACCCCUGCCCACUGCUUCUGCUUCAUUCACACAUGUCAGGUCCCCAUAGACGUCUCAUUUCCAGGCAUUUCAAGAGCCUGGUGAGACAGAGGUUCCUGAUCUUGCCAAAACCCAAACACAAAUAAAAAGUGUAGCUUUGCUUGCAGCUUUUCAGCUCUUGGUAUGUUUUGCCAUGGAGAUGUGUGCUUGGCCUCCACGUGCGUCCCCUUUGGGCAAGUUCCCUCCUUGCAUGACUUCUCAGAACUUGGUCUUCCAGCCUUCUACCCAUCUUAUGUUUAAAAUAAAAUCUUUUUGGUCCUCCCCAUUCCUUUUGGUGGGUUUUUGUCCAUGGAUACUGGCAGAACCUCCUGACAUCACUUAGUGCCUUGGUUAACGUGAGGUGUGGCAGCAGUAGGUGAUGCUUGAGGUGAUGCUGUCCGAGGUGAUGCUACUUCGCUGACGAAAUGCCUUCCCAUUCUGUUGAGGUCUUCUCGUCUCUGCAGUGCUAUUUUCCUAGCGUUGCCAGGUCACAACUUGGGAGAAUUUCUAUCUUCCAGAACAGAACAAGAGGUAGCAGAAAAGAUGAAAUCAAGCCUUUAUUGUUCUGGGGUUUUGCUCUGUUGUCUGAAUGCCUUUUGAUGUGACCCAAGAGUAUAGCUGGGUCCAGAGCUCAGCUUGGUUUGAGGGAGCUUUAGAGCUUUGUAGCUACACACCGACAGCAGAAACUCAUCAACCUUCGCUACUUCUUGGGACUGUUAAUGUGUCGGUCAGAUCCAUUUGAGGCAAGUGUUUUUCUUCUAGAUCCCUUGAUCUCAGGUCUCUGGCCGUUGCUGGAUCAUCAGCCUGGCUUGACAUAUGCCUCUUGGUCUCUUUGGGGCUCGAGAAAUGAAGUUUUCUUCUGUUUCAUUCAUUUUUUAGGGAAAUGGCAGCUGUUGUGAUCACAGCUGUCAGGUAGCUCUCAAAUCUUAAAAUCCAUAAUCAGGGUCGGUUUGUAUUCACUACUUUUGGCAGUGAGUCUCAGAAGAUGCUUUUGGGCGGGGCGUGGGGGGUGGGGCAUAGCGUAGCGCAGCAUCUCCUGCAAUAGCGCCUUGGCAGGUAUCGUCACUUACGACUCCUGCAGGCAACAAGAAAUCCUCAGCCUGGCUGUUUGUCAUUCACUUUAGUACAUCAGGCUCCUUCAGGAUUUUAAAUCCUUGCCUGUUCCUAGGGGAUUUAUCUUUACAAAAAAAGGUCAAUGCCAGUUAAUGUCACCACAGUACAGCUUUAUGAAGUGCCUGUGUAGGCACUGGUGAAGUGCUGGUUGCAUUUUUUCAUCUGCAGGAUUUUCCGGUUGAUCGGUCUUUGAUUGAGCAGUUUCUCUCUCCUUAACAGGGAGUUUGGAAAAAAUAAUUACCUGUUCCAGAGUAGUAGUUGGGAUUUCUUUUUGCGUGAUUAAAAGAAGCUUCCAACAUAUGGUAGGAAAGACGGAGUCAAAAAGAAGAAAGCCUUCCCACUGCAGUCAAGGAACGUAGAUAUGAAUUACUUAAUCCUGAACCAAGCCUCAGACAAACUGGUGAUGAAGGACGGACGCUGUGAUGGGCACUACAGCAUGGACUUGCAGCGGGAACUCUGGUGGCAGGUACUCCUGUCUGGUCCUGGUGGUCUGAUGUAUCUGGGGAAGGCUCAGGUGCCAUGUGCCUCUUGACAAUGGUUUGCUCCGUUCUCAAUUUAUUGAUUUCAGUGUUGAUAGAAAUGUUUGUCUUUAUAGCAUAUCCAAGAGCUGUGCUGCAACAGAGGAGUAAGUGUAAAACUUCCCAUGGAUUAGCCGUCUUCUAGAAGAACGCCAGCAUCUGCCUGUUGUGGCAAGUGAUCUGAGCAGUGACUUACCCACAUGAGCAGUUUCAGGUGGGUGUGUUACGUGUAUUUGCAGUCUUCUCUCUUGUUCCGUGCAGCGCACUAGAAACUGCACAUGCCUUGUAUAAUUUGUUUCCUACCCAGUCCUCUUGUACUGUCCAGUUUUUCUAAUAAACUUCUUUUGAAGUCA